GACGAACGCUGGCGGCGUGCUUAACACAUGCAAGUCGAACGCUGAAGCGUGGUGCUUGCACUGGGGGGAUGAGUGGCGAACGGGUGAGUAAUACGUGAGUAACCUGCCCUUGACUCUGGGAUAAGCCUGGGAAACUGGGUCUAAUACUGGAUACGACAUGUCACCGCAUGGUGGUGUGUGGAAAGGGGUUUCCUGGUUUUGGAUGGGCUCACGGCCUAUCAGCUUGUUGGGGGGGUAAUGGCACACCAAGGCGAGGACGGGUAGCCGGCCUGAGAGGGUGACCGGCCACCCUGGGCCUACGACACGCACCAGACUCCUACGGGAGGCAGCAGUGGGGAAUAUUGCACAAUGGGCGGAAGCCUGAUGCAGCGACGCCGCGUGAGGGAUGACGGCCUUCGGGUUGUAAACCUCUUUCAGCACGGAAGAAGCGAAAGUGACGGUACGUGCAGAAGAAGCGCCGGCUAACUACGUG
rnacentral:rRNA from 1 species